UUCUACGCGCUCCCGUGUAGGGACGGCCCUUGUCUGUGGAAUGACUGAACCAGCAGACGGUAGCGGUAGGAUGGCUGUGGUUGAAACGGGCUGACCGGGCACGGUGUGCUAAUUUUAUUUUUCACGAAUAAUUUUGGAAUGCUUUCAUUUAACGAUCUCCCUGCAUAUUUUGUCUACUGUGCGUGUGAACGAGUUUACAUUAUCCAGCAUGCUUUUUCAUUACUGUUUAUAGCUUUGUUACAGAAGACGGGACUGAGCUGUCGGUUUACUAAAGAAGACUACUAGACAUUGGAUAACUAAACUCGGGCCAGGAUGUCUUCAAUACGAGAGGAUUAUAUGGCACCUUGGUGGACAUAUUGGCUACACAAUUUCCCUCAUGUCAACUUGAACUUUCAGCCCAUCGACAACACGUUCACCCCCCAGGAUCAGAACUACCAGCAGUCAUUAAUCUUCCUGGCCUGUAUGGUGGCUGCAGGGCUGGGCCUGAACCUGCUCUGCCUGGCCAUUUACCUGAGCUGCCUGUGCUGCUGUCGGAAAGACAAUGAGGAGGAGGAGAGCAAGAGCCCCAACUCCUGCUGUGUCACCUGGUCCGCCGUCACCGCCGGACUCCUCAGCUGCGCUGCUGUGGGAGUGGGUUUCUAUGGCAACAGCGAGACCAACGAUGGGGUGUACCAGCUGACGUACUCCCUGUACAACACCAAUCAUACCCUGGGAGGGGUCGACAGCCUGGUGACGGGCACCAUGGGUAGCAUGGAGAGUGGUCUGAAGCAGCACCUGGCGAGGCUGGAUGAGAUCUUCGCUAUGCGGGGAGACUACGUACAGACCCUACGCUUCAUGCAGCAGAUGGCUGACAACGUCAUCAAACAGUUGUUGGGCCUACCUGACUGGGACUUGACUAAAGUAGACCUGGCCGCUAUCGCAGACCAGACCACAUACAUAGAGUACUACAGGUGGCUCACCUACCUGCUGCUACUGAUUCUAGAUCUGGUGAUCUGUCUGGCGGCUUGCCUGGGCCUAGCCAAACAGUCUCGCUGGCUGCUGACAACUAUGAUGGUGUUUGGGGUGCUGACAUUGAUCCUGAGCUGGGCGUCUCUGGGAGCUGACCUGGCCUCUGCUGUGAGCACCAGUGACUUCUGUGUGACCCCAGACAAGUUCAUCAUGAACCAGACCAAGGACCUAAUCAGUUCUGAGAUAGUGCAUUACUACCUGUACUGCAGCCAGGCCCUCCCCAACCCAUUCCAGCAGUCUCUGACCAUCUUCCAGAGGUCUCUGACCACCAUGCAGAUGCAGAUACAGGGCCUGCUGCAGUUCGCUGUGCCUCUCUUCCCAACUGCCGAGAGAGACCUACUGGGCAUUCAGCACCUACUCAACUCAUCAGAGGCUAGCCUCCACCAGCUAACUGCCCUACUGGACUGUAGAGGACUCAACAAGGACUACCUGGAUGCCCUGAUCGGUGUGUGUUAUGAUGGGGUAGAGGGCCUGCUCUACCUCUGCCUCUUCUCCAUCCUGGCAAUUUGUGCCUUCUGUGCCAUGCUGUGUGCCAUCCCCCGGGCAUGGACACAUAUCACCAGCAGGGAGCGUGAUUAUGACGAUAUAGACGAGGGUGACCCGUUUAACCCUCAGGCCAGACGCAUGACGACCCACGACUCCAACCAUGCCACCAACAUGCACAGCUUCUGCAGCUACAGCAGCAGUGUGGGCAGCCAGAGCAGCCUUCACCCGCCUGCCGCCCAUGCUGCCCAGACUGUGUCCAACGCACCCGUCUCAGAGUACAUGACCCAGUCAGCGUUGUUCGGGGGAAACCCGCGGUACGAGAACGUUCCUCUGAUCGGGAGAGGCUCUCCGCCCCCCUCGUCUCUAGCCAAGAAGCUGUGAUGAUCUCACUGGUAAUGUCAUGUGGUGUCCUCUGGACAUACCUACCUUCUACGGGGCAUGGCACUCUACUUUUUCAGCUAACAGCUUCUUUUAUAUUGUUUAUAUGUUUGUUUGUAUUUGAUUUCUUUCUUCUUUUUUUAAUCAACUUUUGGAGGUAUACACUCAGCAAUUUAGAAACGGAUACUCCCCCAGCAUGAGGGCUACAUACCUGUCCAUGACUGAGGACCAGAUCAGACACUUUGGGAGUGAUUUCCAGGCAUAAAGCUGCUCCUCCCUCCCUCCUCCUCUUUAAUCUCUGCCAUCACCAAGAGGGUUCUCAAACAAGCAAACACACAUACACGCACAACUACUCCAGCAGUGUGUGACUUUGUGGCUGCUACACGGACCCACUUCUCGUCCAACUCACUGGACUGGACCAAGGCCUGAUAUGAGGAAAGGUGUGACACACACAGUUGUCCCAUCCCAAACCCAAUUCAAUUCAAUCUAUUUCAGUUCUCCCUUGCUGUCUCCAGAGAAUGCAGCAAUGUAAAGCCCUACUAUUCCACAUUGCAUGUUGUGUCCACUGUCUAAAGGUGUAGUCAAAAGAAAUUCUGCCGAAGUUCUCUUGGAAAUAACACCGAACUUUUCUAAUAGCUUUAGAUUGAAUUAUUUCGGUUUGUCUGCAGCAUUUGUUUUAGGCAAGACCUUUGAAAAUGUAAGACAGAGAAAUGAUAUAUAUUUUCUAUUUUCAUUUAAUUUGACCUAUAAUAUCAAACUUACAACAUGUCCUUUUAAGCCACCAAUUCAGUAUGUGAGUCCUCAUAUUUCCCAGCUCUUUGUGUAGUAGUAGUGUUGAAUUUUUUUUUUUAAUGGAAAUUGUCAUAAUAAUGAUUUAUUUUAAAAACGCUAGCUUGAUUCAUUCAUUCUGACGAGACAAUAGUAACUUUUACAGGAAAUUGCUUUUAUAAUGAUAUAUUGUUCAGAUCCUAAUGAUAUGAUUAGUCUAUUUUGAAAUUAAACUUCUUCUAAAACAUAUGUUAAGAAUGGAAGCAUGUUUUUGUGCCUAUAACCACUCCCUAUUCACCUAAACAGAUGUUCUAUAAUAGCUACUGUAGCUCUAUGACUGUUAACUCAAAAGGAGGGACCAUACUAUGACUGUUGAUUCCUGAUACUCCAACCAUUUGUAUUUGAUGAAAUUGGCCAAGAACAAGUACAUCAGAAAUGACAUUCACACUCUUAGAACUGGAAAGUGUCUACUGUCAAAGGGUCCCCCCUUUGCCUCCACGGCUACAAACAACACAUACUGUAUAUGCCAUAAUAGUAGUUAUAUGUUUCCACAUACACCUCAGACCUAAACUUUGUGAAGCACAAACCUAACCCUGACUGUAUGGUAGGGCCUGGGAUAGUGGCCCUACACGAUGCCCUCCCUACACUAUGCCCUCCCUACACUAUGCCCUCCCUACACUAUGCCCUCCCUACACUAUGCCCUCCCUACACUAUGCCCUCUCUACACUAUGCCCUCCCAACACUAUGCCCUCCCUACACUAUGCCCUCCCUACACUAUGCCCUCUCUACACUAUGCCCUCUCUACACUAUGCCCUCCCUACACUAUGCUCUCCCAACACUAUGCCCACCCAACACUAUGCCCACCCAACACUAUGCCCUCCCUACACCAUGCCCUCCCAACACUAUGCCCAUCCAACACUAUGCCCUCCCAACACUAUGCCCUCUCUACACUAUGCCCUCCCAACACUAUGCCCUCUCUACACUAUGCUCUCCCAACACUAUGCCCUCCCAACACUAUGCCCUCCCAACAAUAUGCCCUCCCAACACUAUGCCCUCCCAACACUAUGCCCUCCCAACACUAUGCCCUCCCAACACUAUGCUCUCCCAACACUAUGCCCUCCCAACACUAUGCCCUCCCAACACUAUGCUCUCCCAACACUAUGCCCUCCCAACACUAUGCCCUCCCAACACUAUGCCCUCCCAACACUAUGCUCUCCCAACACUAUGCCCUCCCUAUACUAUGCCCUCCCAACACUAUGCUCUCCCAACACUAUGCU